AAAGAAGUAACUGUCUCUUUUAUUAAAAUUGAAUUUAACUUUUAAGUGAAAAGGCUUAAAUUUUUCAAAGGGACGAUAAGACCCUAUAAAGCUUUAUAAGUUUAGAGAUUUUAUAUAUUUUUCUAUAGCAAUAAUUUCUUGAAAGCUUAUUUGGUUGGGGCGACAAUAGUAUAAUUGAAAUAACUGCUUUAAAAUAAUACAAAUAUAUUUGAAUUAUAAUUAGUUGAUCCUUUAUAAAGAUUUAAGAUCAAGUUACUUUAGGGAUAACAGCGUUAUUUUUCCUGAGAGUCCUUAUCAAAGGAAAAGUUUGCGACCUCGAUGUUGAAUUAAAAUGUCUUUAUAGUGCAGCAGCUAUAAAAGAAGGUCUGUUCGACCUUUAAUAUUUU
rnacentral:rRNA from 1 species